AGCUGGUGCUUAUUUUUGUUUGUCUGUUUGUUUUCUUUCCCCCUCCUCCAGCUGCAGUGGCUUCCUACUAGGAUCCUAAGGUGAAAGGGAGAUGGAUGUAGAUGCAUUUUGGAAGUGGCUGCUGUUCCCCUCUUCUAGCCUGCAUCAGAUGGAAGACUGUUCUUGGGAAAUGGAAAGAAAUCACUCAAAAGAGAUUUCCAAAAAAGGAUGGAAAUGAAAACCAUUGAAAUCAUCUAAGGUACAUCAUCUGUUGCUGAAAUUUGUACUUUAGAUCCUAGUAAGGACUAAAGGUUAUCAUCUGCCUAUUGUCUGGCCUUCCCUGUGGGAUAUAGGUUUAAGGAAGGAGAUAUCUCUGCCUCAAGAAUGGCUACAUUGAGAAUCAGUCACAAGAAAUAUCAACCAACAUAAACCUCUUUGAAAUGAGCUCUAGUCAAGAGAAUGGAACUCACUACAAGGUCAGAAGGUUGCUUCAACUGCCUUCCACUCAAUGACCCUGCAUACUUUUCCAGGGAAUGUUAACCUUUGCACCCUGAAAAGUACCACUGUUUAAAAUUACUUUUCCUCUAACUUUAGGAGGUAAUUUUGGCUGACCUCAGGCUUUAAAACUUUUUUUCUAAUAUACUGUCCAUCUUUGAAACAUUUUCCUUAAAAUUUUACCUAUUACAUUUAACUUUUUAAAAUAUUACUGAGCUGAAUUUAUUCAUGUUUUAUCUUGCUGUUUUAUCAUGUUCUUAAAUAACAUUUUCUUUAAUUUGUUUUUAAAAUCUUCCAGAUGGUGAUAUUUUUCAUCUCUUAUUUAUUCUUAGCUUGUAUUCCAAAUCUUUCCCUUCAUCUCAUUUUCUGAUCAUUUUGUCUUCUGGAUUAAAUUAGCCAAGUGACAUACUUUUUGUGUAAUUUCACCAAGUUCAUUUUCCUGUGGUUUUUAAAACAAAUUUACACAUUUUCAUGUUAUUAAGUUUACUAUACCUAUUUAUCUUUAGCCCUCAUUCACCAGCUUAGAUCAACUAGUAGUAUAUUUUAUUUCCUAAUCACUCUUUCUUAGUUUUAAAUAUUUUAUUUAUUCCCUAAGUAUACUGCACCUUACUUUCUUCAGUCACCAUGUUACUAAAAGUGGGAAAAAUUCAAAAUAAAGAUGUAUGCUCUGUUUUACA
rnacentral:lncRNA from 1 species